rnacentral:tRNA from 1 species
UUUUAGCUCAGUGGUCGAGCGCUGGCUUUGGAAGCCACAGGUCGGUGGUUCGAUCCCCGUCCGGGACAC